UACGUAGGGGGCGAGCGUUGUCCGGAGUUACUGGGCGUAAAGGGCGUGCAGGCGGUGCGGUAAGUUUAGCGUGACAGUCUCCGGCUUAACUGGAGAAGGCCGUUGAAAACUGCUGGACUUGAGGGCCAGAGAGGGACAUAGAAUUCCGGGUGGAGUGGUGAAAUGCGUAGAUAUCCGGAGGAAUACCAAAGGCGAAGGCAGUGUCCUGGCUGGCAACUGACGCUGAGGCGCGAAAGCUAGGGGAGCGAACAGG
rnacentral:rRNA from 1 species